rnacentral:rRNA from 1 species
UACGUAGGGUGCAAGCGUUGCUCGGAAUCAUUGGGCGUAAAGAGCUCGUAGGCGGUCUGUCGCGUCGGCUGUGAAAACCCGGAGCUCAACUCCGGGCCUGCAGUCGAUACGGGCAAACUGGAGUGUUGCAGGGGAGACUGGAAUUCCUGGUGUAGCGGUGAAAUGCGCAGAUAUCAGGAGGAACACCGGUGGCGAAGGCGGGUCUCUGGGCAACAACUGACGCUGAGGAGCGAAAGCGUGGGGAGCGAACAGG